GAUGAACGCUAGCGGCAGGCCUAAUACAUGCAAGUCGAACGGGAGCCAGAUCAAAGCUUGCUUUGGUCUGGUGAGAGGGGCGCACGGUUGCGUAACGCGUGAGCAACCUACCCUUGUCAGGUGGGUAGCCCGGCGAAAGUCGGGUUAAUACCGCAUGACAUCAUUUGGAGGCAUCUUUCGAUGAUCAAAGAUUUAUCGGACAAGGAUGGGCUCGCUUGACAUUGGCUAGUUGGUAAGGUAACGGCUUACCAAGGAUGCGAUGUCUAGGGGCGCUGAGAGGAGAACACACCACACUGGUACUGCGACCCGGACCAGAAUCCUACGGGAGGGAGGAGUAAGGAAUACUGGGCAAUGGACGGAAGUCUGACCCAGCCAUGCCGGGUGAAGGAAGACGGCGCUAUGGGUUGUAAACUGCUUUUAUGCGGGAACAAACGUCGGUACGCGUACCGGUCUGAGUGUACCGUAAGAAUAAGGACCGGCUAACUUCGUG
rnacentral:rRNA from 1 species